UUCUGCACCAGCAUCCUGCCAUCUUUCACCUCUCUGUACCAAAACCUAGGACAAUCCACAAGCCUCACCAGGAAACCUUUUGCACCCUGUGUUUUGUGCUGCUUGAUUUUGUUUUCUCCUUUGCUUUCAAAUGUAGGAUGUUCCCCCAAGGAGCACCGAAGUACCAGGCCUGCCCUGUCCCUCAGCAGAGGGACUGGCAUUUCACCCUUCCUCAUUGCAUGCCUUCCCAUCAUGGUAACAGCCUGGGCACUACACAGCAGGAUGCAAUCCUCAGCAGAAUCCAACUGUUGCAGAGCUCCUUUCCUGGCAGCCCCAGGACUAAUACACUCAAGGCAGGGGGGACUCUUGGGAGAGUCCCUGUCCCUGUAUUUGCCAUGAAAGAAAACAAGCACAAUAUUCAGAAAGCAUACAUACUAUACAACACACCUGGGGAAUGGAGGGAACAACCACCAAGAAACCAGGAAGAGCACGAAGCAAACAAGCAGAACUUGUGGUGUCUCUAGAGUUCCCAGUGUUAGCCUGGGAUCAGAGAAGGCUGCCCUACCAUGCUGAAAGCCAUUCCUGCAACAUGCCUGAAAAGCUCUGCAUGUUACAGAUGACAUUAGAUUUACUGCAGCUGCAACAGCCCUGCCUAUAAAUCUGUUUGUUGGCUGCAGACUUUGCCCAGAUCCCCUCAGACGACAGGAAGUCUUGCACUGGCCUGACAGUUUGUUUCAGCAGUCAUUUCUCCAGGGCACAGUAUUAAUGUAUCUUCAUUGUUCAUUCAAAUAUCUGCACUGUUAGUCAA